rnacentral:sRNA from 1 species
GGCGGCACGGGAGCGGCGCCGCGCGGCGGGAGGAGAGCGAGUGGCUGCGGCCAUGGCCAUGGCCGGCGAGCCCGCGUCGGGUGGCGUCAACGCGGGUGCUGCCACGCGAGGGAGCAGACGGCAUCGACAGGAAGUUUGCCAGCCUAGGGGGAAUCGCUCUCGGCUGAAGCAUUUGGAGAAGUAGCGGCGGACGCCACGGCAGCCGGCUGAGGGGGGAAGACGGCGGCCCUCACGGGGUUACAAGUCGUGGCGCCAAGCUCCCGGUGGCCGGUGCCACGGUGCCACCUCGUCGCGAGCCACUUGAAGCCAAGGGAUAAAAGGUGGGCAUACCUGGAGAGUCGGCCAACCGGAGGUACAAGUUGUCACCAAGAUUGUUCCUCGCCAUGUCAACAAGCUCACCAACCCAAAGCAAGCACCUUGACUGGCUGGCUGUGGUACCGGGAGAGCCGGUUAUGGUCAAGUUGGUGUAAGCAUAGGCCGUGCAUGAGCAGUUUCGGCUACACUCAGCCGCGCACUCCUCAAAGCUUCUGUCCUGGACAUAAAAGAACUUGUCAGGGAGCUUCAUUCCAGGCAUGGUCAUGAAAUGGUUCCCUUCUCCAC